ensembl:ncRNA ZC53.15 ncRNA
ACAUAAUUUGCAAGUUUCCUUUAGGUUCUAAUGGAAAAGUAAAAUAUGAACCAAUAAACUUAGUUUAUCAUCGAAGAGUUAAUAAAUGUAAUACUUUAACAUUAAAACUAGUGGACAAUAAAAAUAACCUUAUUGACUUCAAUAAGUGU